CGGGGGGAGCAAGCGUUGUUCGGAUCUACUGGGCGUAAAGGGCGCGUAGGCGGCCACCGCAAGUCGACUGUGAAAUCUCCGGGCUUAACCCGGAACGGUCAGCCGAUACUGCGGGGCUAGAGUGCAGAAGGGGCAACUGGAAUUCUCGGUGUAGCGGUGAAAUGCGUAGAUACCGAGAGGAACACCUGCGGCGAAGGCGGGUUGCUGGGCUGACACUGACGCUGAGGCGCGAAAGCUAGGGGAGCGAACGGGAUUAGAUACCCCGGUAGUCCUAGCCUUAAACGAUGAAUGCUUGGUGUCUGGGGUUUUAUAGUCCCCGGGUGCCGUCGCUAACGCUUUAAGCAUUCCGCCUGGGGAGUACGGUCGCAAGACUG
rnacentral:rRNA from 1 species